GAAUGCUCACGUUUGGAAGAGACACUGCGGGUUUUGCUCAACUCCAGGAGCCACACUGCCCAAGUACACUGCAGAAGGGGAGCCAGCCAGCUCUGGGAAUGGGGAGAACACAGGAUAGAGGGGUACUCAAGGAUGGGGAACUCAGGGUUCGGAGACAUCUGUGAAUUGGGAGCUUGGGGUAUGGGAGAGGAGGAGGGGGCGCACACAACGAUAGGAAGCUCCGGGUUCGGGAAGCUCUGUGGAUAAGGGUAUUCAGGGUUUGAAGUAGCUUUGAGAAUAGGGAGCUCGGUGGAUGAGAAUCUCUAGGUUUGUAGGAG